UAGAGGCGGAUGGGGAAAACACAGGACUCCAAACUGAGAGCAAAAGAAGAUUAUUGCUUUGAACCACUCAUGUGGUAACUAAGUCUAGGAACAAUGAGGGUUGCAGCGGAAACAGCGGCAUUGGGAGAGCAAGCUUCCUUCCACCAGCUGCAGUCAAAGCUGCAGGUUCUCUGGGGCAGGGAACUGGUCUGUGCUGUGUUGUAGCUGCCCGAGGACAAACAGUGCAGGUUGAGUAAGAUCCUCUUCAAAGGACCAGAUCCCAGGACUUCAGCCACAGUGGCUCCCGGGAAAGGUAUCCCCUCACGCAAAUGGUGGCAUGAGACCAUCUGAAAGGAAGAAAAAAGCAGAUGGUUAGGCUUUGCUUACGAUGGUUACAUCCCUCUCUAACAAUAGCGAGUGUGUUGAUGAAUUUCACUUCAUAAAUUAUAACUGCUGCGCCUUUAACAGUGGUGAUAGAAAAUAAAUCCAAAUUCUCGACCUCCAACCACAAUAUCAUUAAGGACCUUCACGUCUCCACCCUCUGUGGAUUGCAAACUAUACAUCCAACAUGGUCCCAUGGCACAAUGGAAGAUGAACUCCAAGACCAUCCUCAACAUGCUGUUAGCCCUAAACUGGAGAUCCAGUGGGGAGAGAUGAGGCAAGGAAGUGAAAUACUUGUAGACUGGAGAGGGGAAGAAGAAGAAAUUUAAUACAAGUGAAUCUUAUGUCUAAUAAAUUGGAAAAGAGACAGCUGUUCUCAAUCUUUAGUGAAGAGGGAGCUAGAAUUUAUGCCAUAACAUGAAGCAUAAGAUAAAAAGAGGAAACUCCUAAUCUGGUUAUAGAUGAAGACAUCAUCAGAAAGCUGUGAUGUUGCCUUCACUGGAGGUCUUUAUUUUUUUUUUAAGUUUAUUUUUUUGAAAGAGAGAGAGAAAGAGAGAGUGCACA